rnacentral:rRNA from 1 species
AACGCGAAGAACCUUACCUACCCUUGACAUGGUCGGAAUUCUGCUGAGAGGCGGAAGUGCUCGAAAGAGAACCGAUACACAGGUGCUGCAUGGCUGUCGUCAGCUCGUGUCGUGAGAUGUUGGGUUAAGUCCCGCAACGAGCGCAACCCUUGUCAUUAGUUGCUACGAAAGGGCACUCUAAUGAGACUGCCGGUGACAAACCGGAGGAAGGUGGGGAUGACGUCAAGUCCUCAUGGCCCUUAUGGGUAGGGCUUCACACGUCAUACAAUGGUACAUACAGAGGGCCGCCAACCCGCGAGGGGGAGCUAAUCCCAGAAAGUGUAUCGUAGUCCGGAUUGUAGUCUGCAACUCGACUGCAUGAAGUUGGAAUCGCUAGUAAUCGCGGAUCAGCAUGUCGCGGUGAAUACGUUCCCGGGCCUUGUA